rnacentral:rRNA from 1 species
GACGGAGGAUGCAAGUGUUAUCCGGAAUCACUGGGCGUAAAGCGUCUGUAGGUGGUUUAAUAAGUCAACUGUUAAAUCUUGAGGCUCAACCUCAAAAUCGCAGUCGAAACUAUUAGGCUAGAGUAUAGUAGGGGUAAAGGGAAUUCCCAGUGUAGAGGUGAAAUUCGUAGAUAUUGGGAAGAACACCGGUGGCGAAGGCGGCUCACUGGCUCGUAACUGACGCUCAUGCACGACAGCGUGGGGAUCAAACAGG